rnacentral:misc_RNA from 1 species
UUUCCGUAGGUGAACCUGCGGAAGGAUCAUUAUCGUACAAAAUGUGAGGGGCAUGCGAGGGCUGUCGCUGACCCAAAAGUCGUGCACGCCCGAUUGUGUCCUCUUGCAUAAUAAUCCAUCUCACCCUUUGUGCAUCACCGCGGGGGCACCCUUCGGGACCAUCUCGGUGGCGGGCUCGCGUUUUCACACAAAUCCCCCUUCUAAAAGUGUAGAAUGACCACUUUUAUGCAAUCAAUACAACUUUCAACAACGGAUCUCUUGGCUCUC